rnacentral:rRNA from 1 species
AAUAGAUACCCUGGUAGUCCACGCCCUAAACGAUGUCAACUAGCUGUUGGGGCCUUCGGGCCUUGGUAGCGCAGCUAACGCGUGAAGUUGACCGCCUGGGGAGUACGGUCGCAAGAUUAAAACUCAAAGGAAUUGACGGGGACCCGCACAAGCGGUGGAUGAUGUGGAUUAAUUCGAUGCAACGCGAAAAACCUUACCUACCCUUGACAUGUCUGGAAUCCCGAAGAGAUUUGGGAGUGCUCGCAGGAGAACCGGAACACAGGUGCUGCAUGGCUGUCGUCAGCUCGUGUCGUGAGAUGUUGGGUUAAGUCCCGCAACGAGCGCAACCCUUGUCAUUAGUUGCUACGAAAGGGCACUCUAAUGAGACUGCCGGUGACAAACCGGAGGAAGGUGGGGAUGACGUCAAGUCCUCAUGGCCCUUAUGGGUAGGGCUUCACACGUCAUACAAUGGUCGGGACAGAGGGUCGCCAACCCGGCGAGGGGGAGCCAAUCCCAGGAAACCCGAUCGUAGUCCGGAUUGCAGUCUGCAACUCGACUGCGU